UUAUGGCAGCCGUGCCCGGGCAGACUUCGGUCUGGCCGAGUUUCUCUUGCGCCUCGGUUUCUCACCCCGUGCACGGCUGCCACCCU
rnacentral:antisense_RNA from 1 species